CUGGCAGAAGGGCGGGGAUUCUGGAAGGGGGCGGGAUGGCGACGGGGCUGCUAUGAAGGUGAUUAAGACAAUAGCCGGGAGGCGCCUUGCACCGGAGCUAGGAGACUUGGAAGAAUCGCAAAGACAGGCGAGCGCCCGGGUAGCUGCCCGCCCCGCGGCUUCCGAGCAGCCAAGCGCAUAGUCCUCCGGUGGCCCAGAGGGUCACCAGAAGUUUCGCGUUGCUGUCGCCAGGAAAGCCGAACACACACAUUCCAGAGGUCCAGAACGUAGCCGGAUUUCCGCCCCGCAACCUCCAGGGCAGCCGGGAGCCCAGUCCUCCGGCGGCCUAGAGCGUCGAAGGAAGUCCUGCUUCACAACCUCCAGGGCAACCGAGCGCACAGUCCUCCGGUGCCCCAAAGCGUCGCCAUAAGUUCGCAUUUUGGUCGCCAGGGCAGCCGAGCACACAGUUCUUAAACGGUCCACAGCUUCGCCGAAUGUACCGCGCCACAAUCUCCAAGGCAACCGAGCAUUCAGUCUUACAACGGUCUAGAGCGUCACCGGAAAUCCCGCCCCACAACCACCGGGGUAGCCGAGCGCACAGGCCUCCUGCGGGCUAGAGAGUCGGCGGAAGUCCCGCCCCGGGGCCUCCAGUACAUCCCAGCAUGCAGCCCUCUUGUAGUCUAGAGCGUCGCCGGAAGACCCGUUCCACAACUUCCAAAGCAGCCGAGUGCAGUCCUACGGUGCCCCAGAGCCUCGCUAGGAGUUUCGCGUUGUGGUUUCCAGGGCAGCCGAGCAUACAGUUCUUUGGCGAGACCAAAAUUUCGCCGAAAGUUCCGCGCCACAGUUUCCAGGGUAGUCGAGCAUGCAGUCCUCCGGCGGCCUAGAGCGUCGCAGGAAGUCCCGCCCCACACCCUCCAGGACAACUCAGCACGCUGCCCUCUAGCGGUCUACGCUGGAAGUCUGCCCCGCUACCUCCAGAGUAGCUGAGCACCCAAUCAUCCAACAGUCUAGAGCGUCACCAAAAAUUCGUAUUAUCUUUAGUCCGGGCUACCGAGCAUACAGUUCUCUAGCGAUCCAAAGAGUCGCCGAAAAUCCCGCGCCACAACCUCCAGGAAAGCCGAGCACGCAGUCCUCCGGCGGUCUAGAGCGUCGCCGGAAAUCGCCCCACAACCUCCAGGGUAGCCGAGAGCCCUCCGGAAGUCUAGAGUGUCGCCGGAAGUGCCGUCCCGCAACCACCAGACAGCUGAGCUCCUAGCCCUCCGGAGGUCUAGAGCGUCGCCGCCGGAAGUCCCUCCCUACAGACUCCAAGACAGCCGAGAUAACAGCGUUCUCGCGGCCCAGAGUGUCGCCGGAAAUCCUGCGCCGCGGCCUCCAGGGCAACUAAGAGCAGCAGUCCGGCUGUCUAGAGCGUCGCCUGAAGUGUUCGCGGCGCUUGUGGAGGGGUUUACGGCGCUUCGGGGAGGGCAGCAGGGGCUGCGGAGGCUGCGCGUGAGUGAUGGCCGGCCGGCUGAGGGGCGGCAGACGCUGGGGCUCUGUCGAGCGCGGCGUGAAUACAGGGUGUCUGGCUGUGUGUCUCUCCUGCGCUCUCACUGAGAAAGAGCCGCAGAUAUUCAAGUCUUUAUAAUCACCAGUAGCGUUGAAGGACCCGGGGCUAAUUCUGUAGUCGUUUUGAGAACUGGUCGCGGCACCGGGCGGUUCGUGAUGGAGCGAGCGGAUUUUUCCUGAGUUGUAAUUUGCACGUGGUGAAACGCACAGGUCUUCAGUGAAUGGUUUCGAGAUUUGACAAGGAGACCCCGUCUUGACCUCUGUGACCCCCAGAGCAGUGGCCGGUCUGAGCGGUCUGUGUUCCCUCCGCGGGCCAGGCGCACCUUACCUGCUGUCGCACCGGCUGCUGCAUCGGCCCGAGGCUGGGCUCUCGCGGUUCCACGUGGUCUGGAUGCAUCUUGAGCCAGAGGCCAAACUGAAAAGGAAAACCAUCUGCCUCCCGACGGAGACUUUUAAGGCACUGCCCAUCCUGUGCCCCUCCAGUUCCAGGAGCCUGCAGGCAGCUGGGGCCCCAGCCAUGGCACAGACGUCCCUACCACCCUGCCUGUCGGUGACAGUCCCAGUCCAUCCUUGGCCAAGCCUGCGUGUCCCAGCCGUCGGGACCUUUCUGGAGUGACUUUCUGGCAGGCCAGGUCUUCUGAGGGCCCGUGUCCUCGUGGGAUGGCCCCAUUGCCACUGCUUACUCGUGAACAGGUGGGCUCUGCCCACCACACCAGGUCACCGCUUUCCUGCCCCCAAGACAGCCAGGAGGGAGUCCGGCUGUGGGCACUCGGUCAGCCUUCCCCAGGGGACGGGCUCAGACAGGCACUCGGGCCCUUGUCGGUUCAGGGGAGGCGGUGCAAUGUCUGACGGGGCCCCUGCCCGGUGUCAGGACAGAGGUGGUGUGGCACAUGGGCCUUCCCUGGUCAGGGCUUGGGAUCUGCCCUCCCUGAGGGUCCCUUCCCCUGGCCCAUCACCGCGCAGUGUUAGUGGCGUUCCACAGAUGCCCACCCCUCCCCUGUGCAAAAAUCCCGAAAGACAGCUGCGUGGGUGGGCAGCCGCGAAGGACACAGGAAGGGGCGUGGUGUCGGUGACCAUCUGCAUGACACAACAAACGCCGCAGCAGAGCAUCUCGCCCAGGGUUCCCCGGUGUCGCUUCAAUGCCAGACGGCUGCAGGGAGGCAGCAAGAUUCCCGUUCAGAACUCAAAGUCCUCGCUGGCCGUGUCCAGCGCCCAGGCGAACCUCUCCCUCUGGAUCUUGCUGUAGAUCUUCUCCACGGGCACCCCAAACCACUUACACCUGCGGGAGGACCACAGUUCUUGGGGGGAUGUAGGACAGAGACCAGGACUCUGGGUGAUGGAGGGGGCAGCUUCCUGAUGCGGGCCAGGUGUCCCCAGGGUGUGCUCAGGGACUACACUCAGGCACAUAGGUGGCCUGGCCACUCCCACCCGCCAUGGGCAGGCUGAGCUGCACGUAUGUCCCUGCCCAGCCCUAGGCUCCCCCAAAGCUCUCUGGAGGGUGAACUGAUGACAGACUCGGCAUCUGACGCCCAGUCAGGCGACUGGGGGCACAUGGGGAACAGAGGCCCCUCCUCAAGGCUGCAUGAGGGCACACGACCUGGGCCCACGUAUUGGGCGACGCUGAUCCGGGGUCCGGGUAGUUCAGCUUGGAUGUGCCCACUGCCACCUGCUUGCUCUCCCCCUCGACUGUGGCCCGUACGCUCAGCAUCACAAGCUGCCCCUCCAGUCUCUCCAGCAGCCUCUCUUUCUUCUGCAGGAAACUCGAACAAGGAGGGUCACAGGUCACCACAGGCUCACUCCCUGGGGGGGCGAGUCCAGCGACAUGGGAGGCGGUGCUUGUCCCACAGGCCGGACACUGAGCCCUCAGCAGAAAGGAGAGGCCCAUGCAGACCCACCUGCACGGACAGGGAGGCCUGUGCCAGCACGGACGCCCAGUGGUCCAGCACCUGGCAUCCCUCACCCACGUCACCUUCACCAGGGCCACCCUGCCCCUGAGGACACUUGUCAGGUGAGAAAACCUUCACACUCAGGACCCGCAGCCACGGCCAUCGGGACGAAAAGGAGACACGCGACUAGAGAAACCAGAAGGUGACGAGGCAAACGAUGUCGACGCGAGACGGACAGACGCCCGGAGGCGACAGCCACCAGGACCCACUGCAAGAGGUGGAGGAUGCGAACAGGGCUCUCCAGGUAAAGCGGCGGCAUCAGUCCCAUUCAGAACCUCACCGGUGAGGUCACGUGCUUAAAGAAGGGACACAGUUCUUCACAAACGGAGGAGACACCUGCCAGCUUACUCCGAGGCCGGCGUUACCCGGACGCUGAAACCAAAGGCAUCACAGGAAAACGAGACCGACAGCCCGUCACAGACAGCGGCAAACCCAGCGACACGGGAAGACCACAGGCCCUGACUGCGAGGCGAGGACGUCUCGACGCCUGGAGACCCGUUGGCACAGUGUGCCCACGGUCACCUCAACGAGGGCAGAAAAGCACCUAACGAGGCGACACCCAUGGAGCAAACAGAUCUCUGAGGACAGGGAACACGAGGGCGUCCGGGGGAACGCCCAGCAGACACCGCCCAGCAGACACCGCCCAGCAGACCCCGCCCCGUGGUGCGGGUGAAACCGGCCCCUGCAGGGGCUCACGCCACCUGUUCCCAGUGCUGUGCCCGAGAGCCCAGACUGACGGAGGACACGUAAACUGUCCCUAUUUGCAGGUGGCACGACUUUGACACUGGCGAGUUCGGCAGGGCUGCGGGCUGCCAGGCCAUGGGCAGCGACUGCGCUCUGCACAGGAGGUGGGGCGGCUGACGGGGCAGGCCUGGCUGUGCUUGGAAAGGCCUACUGUGGGGGCUCGGCUUCGGGAGGGUCCCUGUCACCAUCACGGACGAGCACAGCUCACUGAGCCCGGACCCUUCACACAAAGCGGCUUAUGCUGAGCACCUGCCUGCCUUCUGGGGGUCUGGGAGGUUGGUGGGUGCCAGGCAGAAGUGCCCAUGUGACCAGCCUCCAUGAAAACCCAGGACACCGGGUCUCUACUGAGCUUCCCUGGUGACAUUUCACGUGCUGUCAUAGCACAUUGGUGAGAGAAACUCAGCAUGUCCUGUAUGACUCCACGGGGCCGUGCACCUGUUCCCUGAGUUUGAUGGUGCCCUUUCGCUGUCCUAAGUCACAGCUGUGACUCUGCCGACACACAGAUAACGUAGUUUGUAUUUUUUUUAAAUCACAGAACUAUUGGAAAGGACGCCGGAGGAUCGGUAAAGGGAAAAGCUAAAGUCUACAGCCAGCCGCCCCGACUCGAAUGGCUGGGCCCUCAGGACACUCACCUUUUCGACGCGCUGUCCCCUUUUGACUUGUGGUCAGCUCUUGCCUUCCUCAGCUCCUCCUGGGCCUCGGCCACCUGCUGCUGCUUCGCCUCUAUCUGCAAAGGAAGAGGGCCCUGUCGGGGCUGCCACUGCCGCUGCCCCUACCUGGUCCAGCCCCAGGGACCCAUCCACAGCCUGCUAGCCACAGUGCCCUGAAAGGCCCGCCCCACAGCGCCCACCUGCCAAGUUGGUGCCAGAGAGCCAGCCUGACCGUCACUGUGGCGGGGACAGGGUGAGGCCAGGAGGCCCCGAGUGUAUCACCUGCCCCAGCGAGACCCGGCCCCCUGCUCCACCGACCUCCAUCCUGGACUACGGGCCUUUCCACACUGUGGGCCACGCAGGGCAGCCACCCAGCCCUGGGCAGCACCAGUUCUCAGGACCACCCAGAGGCCCCUGUGGGGAGCUGCCACAUCCAUGUGUACCUUGGACUGCAGGUUCUGCAUCACCUUCUCAAGGCCCUGGGAGUGGCCCGAUGGUUGCAGAGGAGGGCCACGGCUUGGUUGUGACAGGACUUUAGCAGCCACGCUCUUCAGCUGAAACAGGAGUGGCCGCCAGCCAACGAGGGUGACUGCUGCCACCACCAGUGCUUUAUGAGGCCACUGGUCAGCAGAGGGGCCCUGUCCAAGGGACCCACAAACCAGGGCAGAGCUGGGUGUGAGCAGGACUCCACCCGCCAGGUGUCAGCCUGCAUCCACUACACAUUUUUGGAAACCAGGAAUCAGUAAAGACUAUGCCACCAACUCAACUUUUUAAAUGGACAAAAAUUCAUAACAAAUAUGCAGAUAAGUGCACACAAAGGUGCCCAACAUCUGAGCAAACGCAAGCCAUGUGAGCGCCUCGGCUCUGGGCCGACGUUUGCCUGCAGCCCCGACGAGCAUGGGAACGCACGCGGGCAGCCACCCUGGAAACUGCCCAGCCGUUUCCAGCCCAGCCGACACAUGACGGUGACCCAGCCAUCCCACCUUGGUCCCUGCAGAGAGGGCAUGUCCACACGGCAGCACUUGUCGUGACAGCCCAAGCCUGGGGGUCAGCAGGGAAAUGGACACGUGGCAUGUGUUCACACGGUGCUGGGGCCAUGCUGGCAGGGGCCCAGAAACGUCCUGUCUCUGAGGGGAGUCCCAUGGGUGCAUGCUUGUGAGAGUCUCAGUGGAGCUGUUCCCCAGGAUUAGUGUCAACUCAGGUGAAAAAGUUUUUUAAAUGAGAAUAAACAAAAAUCCUUGGCACCUUA